rnacentral:rRNA from 1 species
UACGGAAGGCAGCAGUGGGGAAUAUUGCACAAUGGGCGCAAGCCUGAUGCAGCCAUGCCGCGUGUAUGAAGAAGGCCUUCGGGUUGUAAAGUACUUUCAGUCGUGAGGAAGGUGUUAAGGUUAAUAACCUUAGCAAUUGACGUUAGCGACAGAAGAAGCACCGGCUAACUCCGUGCCAGCAGCCGCGGUAAUACGGAGGGUGCGAGCGUUAAUCGGAAUUACUGGGCGUAAAGGGCACGCAGGCGGUUAAUUAAGUUGGAUGUGAAAUCCCCGGGCUUAACCUGGGAAUGGCAUUCAAGACUGGUUAGCUAGAGUCUUGUAGAGGGGGUUAGAAUUCCAUGUGUAGCGGUGAAAUGCGUAGAGAUGUGGAGGAAUACCGGUGGCGAAGGCGGCCCCUGGGACAAGACUGACGCUCAUGUGCGAAAGCGUGGGGAGCAAACGAGGAUUAGAUAC